rnacentral:rRNA from 1 species
GACGAACGCUGGCGGCGUGCUUAACACAUGCAAGUCGAACGAUGAAGCCAGCUUGCUGGUGGAUUAGUGGCGAACGGGUGAGUAACACGUGGGUGAUCUGCCCCAAACUUUGGGAUAAGCCUGGGAAACUGGGUCUAAUACCGAAUAUGACCGAUACUCGCAUGGGUGUUGGUGGAAAGCUCCGGCGGUUUGGGAUGGGCCCGCGGCCUAUCAGCUUGUUGGUGGGGUAAUGGCCUACCAAGGCGACGACGGGUAGCCGGCCUGAGAGGGCGACCGGCCACACUGGGACUGAGACACGGCCCAGACUCCUACGGGAGGCAGCAGUGGGGAAUAUUGCACAAUGGGCGCAAGCCUGAUGCAGCGACGCCGCGUGAGGGAUGACGGCCUUCGGGUUGUAAACCUCUUUCACCAGGGACGAAGCGAAAGUGACGGUACCUGGGGAAGAAGCACCGGCCAACUACGUG